rnacentral:rRNA from 1 species
GAUGAACGCUAGCGGCAGGCUUAACACAUGCAAGUCGAGGGGCAACACGGGUAGCAAUACCUGGUGGCGACCGGCGCAAGGGUGCGUAACGCGUGAGCAACAUGCCCUAUACAGGGGGAUAAUCCAGGGAAACUUGGUCUAAUAUCCCAUAGUAUUUAGAGGUGGCAUCACCACUAAAUUAAAGCUUCGGUGGUAUAGGAUUGGCUCGCGUGACAUUAGCUGGAUGGUGGGGUAACGGCUCACCAUGGCGAUGAUGUCUAGGGGUUCUGAGAGGAAGACCCCCCACACUGGGACUGAGACACGGCCCAGACUCCUACGGGAGGCAGCAGUGAGGAAUAUUGGACAAUGGAUGGAAAUCUGAUCCAGCCAUGCCGCGUGCAGGAAGACGGCCCUAUGGGUUGUAAACUGCUUUUAAUGGGAGCAAUAAGGUCUACGUUAGACUGAUGAGAGUACCAUAUGAAUAAGCAUCGGCU